UAGUAUUAGUAGUAGUAGCAGUAGCAGCAGCAGCAGCAGCAGUAGUAGUAGUAUUGCAUUAUUUUUUGCAGCAGCUCACUUCCUGAUCCAAUUCUAUGUGUUGAAGAAUAUUGAUGGGAAUGGUUAUAGCUUAUUUUUGACAAGUGAUGUUAUCCAUUAUUAUUAUUAUUAUUAUUAUUAUUAUUAUUAUUAUUAUUAUUAUUAUUAUUAUUAUUAUUAUUAUGAUUAGUAGUAGUAGUAGUAGUAGUAGUAGUAGCAACAGUAGCAGCAGCAGCAGUAGUAGUAGUAGUAUUGCAUUAUUUUUUGCAGCAGCUCACUUCCUGAUCCAAUUCUAUGUGUUGAAGAAUAUUGAUGGGAAUGGUUAUAGCUUAUUUUUGACAAGUGAUGUUAUCCACUGUUAAAUAGUGCUCGCUUUCAAGAACUUAGCCUGGGUUACAGGCCCUACUUUUGGGUUACUCACUCUUUAUUGCACUUAGUGCACGCCAUACCUAAUUUAAUUGUCGUCCCAUACUCGUGGCGCUGUCCAGAAUGAGAAAAAUAAUAAAAAAUAAGAGACUUGUGGCAAGUCUAUCAAGAACCCUGAUGGUUCUCAUGCCCUUUUAUUUGUUUUUGUCAGCCUGGUUCUUACGAGAGACCUAGUAUCCGGAUCGGGAGCUAACCGUUAGCGCUAACUGUUAGCACCUGUGUGAGAACGCUUGAUCGGUUAGCGGUAUCUGGAUACCGCUAAUGGUUAGCAAGUGAGCGCAUUUCUAUCAUCAACCAAUUUACACGAACGCGUUUACAAUUUCCAGUUUUUUAUUGGCCAGUGAUUCGAUCAUCAUAUCUUGGUAUCCGGAUCGGGAUUUUCCCGUAUGGACGCACGGCAGCUAACGGUUAGCAAGAUCUGGAUCCUGCUAACCGUUAGCUGCCGUGUGAGAACAUAGCCCUUAGUAUUUACUCAGAUCUAAUUGUAAUUUAUGCUGUAUAGAUGAGCUACAGUAGGCCUGUAUUACUAUUUCAUAGUACUGUAGUAGUAGUUUUACAUGAUUUUUUUUGCAGCAGCUCACUUAAAUUCCUGGUUCAAUUCCAUCACAUUUCUUUUGUUUUAGUUGGACGGUAGAACUGCAAGUUAAAUAAAGUGCACCCUCUAAUUCAAGACCGUUAAAUCUAAUUUGACACCACUUUUUCAAAGAACCAAAUAAUAUUCUUUGAUCUUUUAGCACAAAUCUAACCCUACAAGUGAAGACCAAAUCCACGACCACCUCAAAUUUUCAGGUCCCAAAGUGGUCUUGAAUUGAAGGGGGGCACUUUAAUAUACAGUACACAAGCAUAUUUCAGAAGAUGUUAAGCAGUUGCUUACUUUUUGGUUUCUCAUAGUGUGACAAAUUUGUGAUGGUUUUUAUCUUGGCAAAAUAUUUUGCAUUAGAAUUAUCUUUUCUCCCGUAAGGUAAUCAGUAUCGCAUGACCAUCAAAAAGUUUUGUCCAAUUUUAUGGUUUUUUUCCAUUGCUGAUUGUUUUGUUCGACUAGAGAAGUUGUUGCGUAGUGUGAGCAGCAAUAUGACUUGUUGCUUUUAUUGUAGUCUGAAAUAUUGUUAAGCUUUAUCCACAAUAUCAAAUUUUGUUUUUCUCAAAUAAAAUUUGGUAUACUUGACGGGGCUUUAGAUUUGCAGAAUUUAGUCUACGUUUGAAAGUUCCUCAGAUUUCAGGACAGGUUGUUCCAGAUGGCAGAUUGGAGUUAUUUGUUUUAAGCUGCUGUUCUCUCCGGUAUCUUCUGUAAUGACCAAAAAUUUUGGUUGGGUUCAAUCAUGUAAAUAAUUUUGGUACCACUCGUCGUCCACCACAGGGGCUGUCUGUUACUAUUUUAUGACUUAAUUGUGCAAUGUGUAAAGAACUGGAAUAUUAAUUUCAUCAGUGAGCGUAUCUAGGAAUCUUGAAGUGGAGGGAGUGGGGAGGGGAUACACCACUGGAUUUGAUGUACAGUAUUUCUAUUUUGACUCUGAAUUUGUCUUAUUUCCAAGCCUUCAGGAGACCUGCUAUUUUAUCCCAAAACUGAAAUAUCUUGAAGCCUUUGUAUAAAUAGGCAGUAGAUCAACCUAUGAUAACAAUUACAGUGCUCAGUGCUUUCAAUGUCUACGGUACUACGCAGCAAAAGUGACAUAGAUAUACUAAACAUGCCACAAUUACAUAGCACUGUCAUUUACAACUCUUUUUAUGCAUGUAAAUUGACCAAUUUACCAGUAAUUUUCCCAUAAUGUUGACAAAUUAGCCAAUAUCUAUGUACUGUUUUAAUCUUUUUUAUUUUGUAAGUGAAAACAUGUUUAAAUAGUUGAUUUUUAUAUAGACUAAUUGGCCUAGCAAUAUAGUUUUUUUGAACAUUUGAACAAUUACACAGUCUUGUAUGUUUCUAAAGAUAUUAGUUAAUAUAUGCUUUUAUUUAUAGUGCUUUUGUUAAGUUUGUAUAUUUUGCUCUUUGUGAACACACAUGAAGGUCAGGGGUGGAUUUAGGGGGUGUCCGGCCUGGCCCCAACCCCCUUUUGGGAGGUAAAAAAAGAAAAAAAUGAUAGCCCACAACACCUCAAAUGUUAUUUUUGGUUGUCUAGAACACAAAAAUUUCGCGGGGGCAUGCCCCCGUAACCCCUAGGGCAUUGUUGUGUCGAUCGGCCCAAAUUUCGGCCCCACCUUUUGGAUAUCUCUGGAUCCGCCCCUGAAGGUGUAUGUUAGAAAAAAUAAUUAUCAUUAUAUUAUAUAUUUUUAUAUUGAAUUAAAUAUUCUAUGAGCAUUGAUAUAUCCAUUAAGUAUUCAUAUUCCCCUUUAUAUUGUAGUACUUCAUUUAUUUUAUUUUUAUUUCGUAUACUUUUAAUAUUUUAUUUUAUUCUAUUAACAUUGUUAUAAAUUCCAAUCUUUUUUAUUUUGUAAAUGAAAACAUGUUUAAAUAGUUGAUUUUUAUAUAGACUAAUUGGCCUAGCAUGGCUCACAAUAUAAUUUUUUUAAACAUUUGAACAAUUACACUGUCUUGUAGGUUUCUAAAGAUAUUAGUUAAUAUAUGCUUUUAUUUAUUGUGCUUUUGUUAAGUUUGUAUAUUUUGCUCUUUGUGAACACACAUGAAGGUGUAUGUUAGAAUAAAUAAUUAUCAUUAUAUUAUAUAUUUUUAUAUUGGGUUAAAUAUUCUUUGAGCAUAUUUUAUUUUAUUCUAUUAACAUUGUUAUAAAUUACCGUACUUGCGCGAACCCGCUUACCACCACCACCACUAAUUUCAUCUGCUGUUGUGUAAAUACCCCCAACAUUCUUGUCAUGCUCUCUCAACGAGUAUCUUUUCUUCACCAAAACCAUUUGUUUACCUUCGAUUAAAAAAAUAGUGCCCCUUGAAUUUUCCAGUUUCCCAUAAGCACCCCUUCCAUUUUCAUCUAUUUCCAUAAGCGCCCCCUCAAUUUCCACUCUGUUUUCAAAAAGAGCCAAAAAUAUUGUAAGAGCCCGGAAGCUUAUUCUUGCGAGUACGGUAUGUGGAUGAAAUAUAUUUAUCUUCAAUUUUAGUUACGUUCCUCUAUUGGUUCCUAUGCUGUAUUGCUAUUGUACCUUAUCAAAUACUGUACAGCUAAAAUAAUUACCAUGAAAUUGAUUAGUAUUUUAACAUCCAGUAAACAUUGUGAGUUGUUUCUGUUUAAAUAUAUACUUCAAGGACCCAAAUAGUUACCGGUCCAGGAACUAAAAUUGGUUGCACUGGAACUGUGGGAAGUGCUCUUGUUUUGCCACUGAGGGUUGUGGAGACAUUUAAUAUUAUUUAUGAACACUUCAGAUGCAUGUUUAUAUGGAUUCAGUUUAAUACUAUGUUUUUUUGUUUAGUGAUAUAUCUCAAUUAUCAUUUUUCCAUUCAAAAAAAGUGCCAUACAGCAAAGGCGCAUUGUUCCUCAACUGAUUGAAACUGCCACUGCUUGUCUAUCUUCGGCUAAUAACUUAAACAAUACCUAAACAAUAAUUUAAAAUUUGAAAAAACAAAAUAAAAUAAUGUAAGAAAACCUGCCCUUUACUGGUGGAAAAAUGGCACCACGAGAGAGAUUGAUAUGUGCAAGUUUAUUUAAUAUUGAAAUUUAGAAGAAGAAAUAGACAGUUAUGGUGACAAAUGCAUGUGGAAGUAGUUUGGUGCUCCUUGAGCAAGGUACAUUAGGCAAAACUUUUUUAAGCCUUGUUUUACAAACUUUUUUUUAAAGAUCGUCAGAGAGCGGGGGAAAAAAUUGUUUUCUUAUUUAGCAAAUAGUUUUGCCAAAAACAUCCAGACGGAGUAAAAAAUAAAAUGUUGUUGGUGAAUGUAAACAGUGCAGUAAUAUGAUGGUUAAAUGCUUUAAAUUUAUAAUUGGGAAGCAAUAUACAUAUCUUAUUUCCAUUUCAAGGCAGUGGCUGGCAUAAUAAAAAUAAAGAAAAACUUUUAUAUUUUUCUGGUAUGUCCAUUUUUCGUAGCGGCGGUAUGCUAAUUUGCCAAAAAUUUAAUUUUACUUUUAUUUAAAAUCAGUAUUAGCAAGUAGCGGGUUCACUAAACAAUAAAAAAAAGUUUUGCCUUAUCUGCAUACUCCUCGCCCAGGAGUAAGUCAGUACCUGGUACCAAUUGCGCAGCUUUAGUAAAUACUUCCCCAUGGAGCUGAGUUUGUGUUACAUAGGUGUUAAUCUAAUGCCGAGGGUAAUGAUAAUGUAAAGCCUAUAGAGGUGCUUAGCUUGAUGUGCUAUUUAAGUCUUACGGUCCCGUGAUAAUCAACAUGAUGAUUGUGGCCCCAGUCGGUGAGAAAAACCAAAAUUCGUUGGGGAGAAAAAAAUAAUGUAAAUGUAUUUCUGCAUAUUAGUAGACCCAAAAUCGAUUAAAUAAACCUUUAAAACUCAUAAAUUGUCGUAUUCGCCCCCAUGGAAUACUUUUGGGAGAUUUUGAGCGACGCCCGACAACGUCCACUUUUUUGUCACGGAAAUCAGCCACUCCGUCGGGCAAAUCCUGAUGCCACCACUGUUGUGGGAACUCAAGACGAAUUAGUCUACCAUUAAUAUUAUUAAAUAAUCAACUCAAGGUACCUGUAGACUACUUGAUCUUUCAAAUAAGCAAGUCAAUGAGUUUUAAGCGAAAUUAUUAGGUGCUUUUCACAUUUUACCCAACAGUAUAUUUUUAAAUUUUAUUUUACUUUAUGAGACAGACCAAUUUAUUGAAUAUAGGGAAACAUUGUAAGCAAUUGCAAAUGAAACCAUCAAAAGAGAUACAGUAUAUAUUAUAGUGAUGCUCUUACAAUUAUUAUUUACAUAAUGAUGUAAUGAACAUAAUCAAAAUUAAACAGUAUAUAACUCCUGAAAUACAUAUAUUUUCACAUUCCAUGAUAUUGUUGAAAUCUUUUAAGUGAAUAUAUUGUAUAUUCUAUGAAGCAGCUGUUUUUGUUGUAGAAGCAUGUCUUGUAGUAUGUAUUUGGUAGAAUAAAUGAAACUGAAAUAUAA